rnacentral:rRNA from 1 species
GGGGAAUAUUGGACAAUGGGCGAAAGCCUGAUCCAGCCAUGCCGCGUGUGUGAAGAAGGUCUUCGGAUUGUAAAGCACUUUAAGUUGGGAGGAAGGGCUGCUGGUUAAUACCCUGCAGUUUUGACGUUACCAACAGAAUAAGCACCGGCUAACUUCGUGCCAGCAGCCGCGGUAAUACGAAGGGUGCAAGCGUUAAUCGGAAUUACUGGGCGUAAAGCGCGCGUAGGUGGUUGGGUAAGUUGAAUGUGAAAGCCCCGGGCUCAACCUGGGAACUGCAUCCAAAACUGCCCGACUAGAGUACGGUAGAGGGUGGUGGAAUUUCCCGUGUAGCGGUGAAAUGCGUAGAUAUAGGAAGGAACACCAGUGGCGAAGGCGGCCACCUGGACUGAUACUGACACUGAGGUGCGAAAGCGUGGGGAGCAAAC